rnacentral:lncRNA from 1 species
AUCUACGUCAAGACCUGGGCUUUGCUCCACUUGGAGUCAGCUGAUUGACAGGAGGGCAUCUGAAAUUGAGAGGAGAUUUCAGGACGUUUACCCAGCCCUUUAGUGGGGAUCUGUCCGGGACUGUGCAGUCUGAACCUGCAACUGUAAAAGUGCUGUUUGGACUGUGGACAAGUUAGGUUAUAAAUUUUGACCUCUGAAUGGACGCAACCAAUAUUAGCCUUUAAUGCAGUUAGACUCAUUUUGUCAGAGGUCUGGAAAAUUAGGAAAAACUACCAUAUGUCCAAGCCUUCAUGCUUUUCGAAAAUCAGGAUUCAUACCAUGAGGGAAGAUGCCAGCUGCUAGCUAUACCAAAGGACAGAAUGGAAAAAAGGCUCUUCACAAGCCAGAGAGCCAAACUCAGGCAGAAAGCAAUGAAGUCUCAGGAUGUAACCUUGAAGCAAACUGCAGAAACCAUUGCCUCAGUCUUCAAGUAGAACCUUGAAAUAUACUUUGGAACCACACCCCAUUCAGUUUCCCACUGUACAUGUCCAUGCGGCAUGGUCCCUGGAAACAACCCUGGUGCUGUCCAGCAGCGUGUUGGCCCUGCAGGCUGAAGCUUAUCC